GUGUCAGCCGCCGCGGUAAUACGUAGGAGGCGAGCGUUGUCCGGAUUUACUGGGCGUAAAGCGCGCGCAGGCGGCACUGUAAGUAAGAUGUGAAAUCUCUCUGCUCAACGGGGAGGGUGCAUUUUAGACUGCAGAGCUAGAGGACGGUAGAGGGGGGUGGAAUUGCUGGUGUAGCGGUGAAAUGCGUAGAGAUCAGCAGGAACACCCGUGGCGAAGGCGGCCCCCUGGGCCGAACCUGACGCUGAGGCGCGAAGGCUAGGGGAGCGAACGGGAUUAGAAACCCCCGUAGUCC
rnacentral:rRNA from 1 species